rnacentral:rRNA from 1 species
CAGUCGCCACGGUAAUACGUAGGUGGCAAGCGUUGUCCGGAAUUAUUGGGCGUAAAGGGCUCGCAGGCGGUUUCUUAAGUCUGAUGUGAAAGCCCCCGGCUCAACCGGGGAGGGUCAUUGGAAACUGGGAAACUUGAGUGCAGAAGAGGAGAGUGGAAUUCCACGUGUAGCGGUGAAAUGCGUAGAUAUGCGGAGGAACACCGAUGGCGAAGGCGACUCUCUGGUCUGUAACUGACGCUGAGGAGCGAAAGCGUGGGGAGCGAACAGGAUUAGAUACCCCUGUAGUCCCUGUCUCUUAUAC